rnacentral:rRNA from 1 species
CGCAACCCUCGCCUCUAGUUGCCAGCAUUCGGUUGGGCACUCUAGAGGGACUGCCGGCGACAAGUCGGAGGAAGGUGGGGAUGACGUCAAAUCAUCAUGCCCCUUAUGACCUGGGCUACACACGUGCUACAAUGGGCGGUACAAAGGGCUGCGAACCCGCGAGGGGGAGCGAAUCCCAAAAAGCCGCUCUCAGUUCGGAUUGCAGGCUGCAACUCGCCUGCAUGAAGCCGGAAUCGCUAGUAAUCGCGGAUCAGCAUGCCCGCGGUCGAAUACGUUCCCGGGCCUU